ACUCAAAGGAAUAGACGGGGACCCGCACAAGCGGUGGAGCGUGUUGUUUAAUUCGAUGGUAAGCGAAGAACCUUACCAGGGCUUGACAUCUUUGGAAUUACUGCGAAAGCAGUGAGUGCCCUUGGGAGCCAAGUGACAGGUGUUGCAUGGCCGUCGUCAGCUCGUGUCGUGAGAUGUUUGGUUAAGUCCAUCAACGAGCGCAACCCCUAUGGUUAGUUGUAUUUUUCUAACCAGACUGCCCCGGCAACGGGGAGGAAGGAGGGGAUGAUGUCAGGUCUGUAUUACCCUUACGCCCUGGGCAACAAACGCGCUACAAUGGCCGGUACAAUGAGCAGCCAAGUCGUGAGACGGAGCAAAUCUCAUCAAAGCCGGUCCCAGUUCGGAUUGCAGGCUGAAACUCGCCUGCAUGAAGUCGGAAUCGCUAGUAAUCGCGGAUCAGCACGCCGCGGUGAAUACGUUCCCGGGUCUUGUACACACCGCCCGU
rnacentral:rRNA from 1 species